rnacentral:misc_RNA from 1 species
CAGAGUUGCAAAACUCCCAACCAUUGUGAACCUACCUCACCGUUGCUUCGGCGGGUGGCCAGGGGCAACCCAGGCCGCGCCGGCGCCCUCCUUCAGGGCCCGGCAAACCCGUCAGAAGACCGAAACUCUUCGUCAUCAGUGGCCUCUCUGAGUAACUUAUACAAUAAGUCA